CCCAUAGGACGCACAUGUGACGUACAGCAGACUCCUGGCAAAAGCUGGAUGACACUUUUGCAGGUAAGGCGCUUCUCAAUGCUCUCCGUCUCUUGUAUAAGCUGACAAGUUUUAAAUGAGUGUUUUCUGUCUGAAACUGAAUGGAAACAUCACGCCAUGUGGUUGUUGAUGUGUUUUGAGGUUCUGUUGUCACUUUUGGUCGGCAGAAAUGGAUUUUAAAAGUGUUUGGUUUAGCGGUGAUCCAACCUCAUUGGUAUUUUGUUUGGCUUGCUACAGGAGACAGAGAGCGCCUGACGUUACAUGUGCUGACUGUGCCCUUUACUGCUUGUCUUGUAGAAAAAAGCUGGAUGACGCUUUUGUAGAAUAAAUGGCAGAAUUCGGGUAUUGCUGUGUCUGUCUUCUUCCAAAUCACCAGCAGCCAUUCUAAAGCCGCUA